rnacentral:rRNA from 1 species
CUUGGAUGAGUUGCGAACGGGUGAGCAACGCGUAGGUAACCUGCCUGGUAGCGGGGGAUAACUAUUGGAAACGAUAGCUAAUACCGCAUAAAAUGGAUUAUUGCAUGAUAGUCAAUUGAAAGGUGCAACUGCACCACUACCAGAUGGACCUGCGUUGUAUUAGCUAGUUGGUGGGGUAACGGCUCACCAAGGCGACGAUACAUAGCCGACCUGAGAGGGUGAUCGGCCACACUGGGACUGAGACACGGCCCAGACUCCUACGGGAGGCAGCAGUAGGGAAUCUUCGGCAAUGGACGGAAGUCUGACCGAGCAACGCCGCGUGAGUGAAGAAGGUUUUCGGAUCGUAAAGCUCUGUUGUAAGAGAAGAACGAGUGUGAGAGUGGAAAGUUCACACUGUGACGGUAUCUUACCAGAAAGGGACGGCUAACUACGUGCCAGCAGCCGCGGUAAUACGUAGGUCCCGAGCGUUGUCCGGAUUUAUUGGGCGUAAAGCGAGCGCAGGCGGUUAGAUAAGUCUGAAGUUAAAGGCUGUGGCUUAACCAUAGUACGCUUUGGAAACUGUUUAACUUGAGUGCAAGAGGGGAGAGUGGAAUUCCAUGUGUAGCGGUGAAAUGCGUAG